CCUUGAGCGCGGAUGACGUACUAGUACGUCAUAACACCCACACAGUGCCCCACGGAUGACGUACUAGUACGUCACGCGCUUAUAUUCAAACUAACGGCCCGUAUCUUCAGUCUUCAGGUCUGUUAGCCGAUUGGUAGUGUCUAUGCCUUGUGUACGAGAGGUACCGGGUUCAGUUCCCAGCUGUCAAUGUACAGCGAUCAGCACAGCUCUUUUUUUCUCCUUUUUUACGCGCGCAUACCACGCAAUUGGUGCAAUUUCUCAAAAAUCGACCUGAGUAUGCCGCUCGGCCUGGCGUGCCUUGGCCGAUUUUCGCUUUUGUUCUUGUUGUCGAGUGCUGGUCUGGGUCCUACCUACUACUGCCUGUGGUUGUGGCUCCCAAAGAUUUCACGACUUGACAUAGCCAAGGUUUGAAAAUUUUCAAAAAAGACCAUUUUUCUUACGUGGUGCACUGACAAACAGCCCCGCGCUCAAGGGGUUUUUAACAGAGCGGGGAGAUGCUCUUGCUGCUAUCUUAUCUGUCCUGUGUAUUCGCAAGUGCCGAAGGCUCACAACGAUGGUGUUAAGCAAGUCAGAUAAAAUAGAGUCAACAUCGUCACAUGGUGCUGUGACCAAGAUACGGAUCAUGCCGAACGCUGAUUCAACUGGACGAAUCGCGAGGCUUUUCAGAUGCAGGGACACAAUGGAAACUGAACGACUUCAGAACAGCACUGAAGCGUUAUGUUAUCAUUAGGAGUUAUCAUGCAAGACGCCUUUCUGCGCCGCACAAACACAGGCGGUACUACAGCAGAAGAUGUCACUCACUAUUCUGCAGGUGCACUGGUGACAGGCGCAUGCAAGUUCACCAGAAGGAAGCGGUCUGAUGGUAACUGGAAUGCCAGCAGUAUGAGAGGGUGUGCAUUCUGCGGCGGAUCUCACCUGGACAAGAGCUGCGCGAAAUACACAACAGUAGCACAGCGGAAAGAAUAACUGAUUGAACAGAAGCGUUGCUUUGUGUGUUUGCGCACAGGGCACCGGUCAACUCAGUGCAAGGCCACCCGCAAGUGUAAUGUGUGUUCUCGCAUGGGUCACCAAUCAGAGUCACCAUCAUGUCACGAUCUGCCCUGAAUCUCAACAGAAAUCUGACAGCAGUACCAACAUAGUAGCUGACCAGCCUGUGGCUGACAAGGUACCAGCAUCUAGCGCAACAGCAGGUAGUGCAGCAUCAACCAGUAUCGCCAUUGACCGUAAGAUAGUCAGUCGUCUUGAUCGGUGCAGAUUUCCUCUGGGAGUUUUGACGGAGAGCACCAGAGGACUUCCGCCAGGACUACAGGUUCUGCCUACCACAGUCGGUUUUGUGGUGACUGGCCAAACACGUCACUCCAAGCACUCAGCUACGCCGAUGAGCAGCCAUGCCAGCUAUCGUUUCUCUAACUGAUGCAACUUCCGACUCCUGCACCAUCCCAGAUCUGUGGGACCUAGACUGUGUUGAUAUCCAGGAUUCAGGCAAUCUUACUAACAACGACCUAGCCAUUAGGCAAUUCAUCAUUGUUCUACGAUUUUGCCUGCCACCAAUCGUCAUGACCUGCGAUACUGAGAAGGCCAUUUUACAAAUCAGUGCCAACCCAGCAUACAGAGAUGCGACACGAUUUCUGUGGUUAACCAACUCCGACAGUCCAUCAGUCACCCCAUCCAGCCUGUUCACGCUCGUAAGCAGUCCAUUUCUGCUUGGCGCGUCUAUACAGCAUCAUUUGGCACAGCAAGAUGACAAAACAGCUAGCAGUGGCUAUUGGUGAGAACAUUUUCUGCUGUGCCAUUGGAGUGUGCACGAUACACGAACCCUGCUCUUUUGUUGGCACCGCCUAUGUAACUUACUGCAUAGGGUACAAGGUGACCGUUGUCGGUUCACAUGUACUCCAGUUAUUACACCGUGCAUGCACUGAGUCUGUGCUGCACUGUGCAUCCAUAGGUGUUCGUUUGCGGUAGCGCAAGGUGACACGCAAGGUUGAUGUAUUGUUUUGUCCGCUGCUAUUCGAAGCUCUCGGAGUCGGAAGCGUUACCUCUGUUUCCCCGUUCCUCCCUGCGCGGAGUCUGUAGUUCUGGCUUGCAGUCGCUGUUACAUGCAUGUUGGCAGUUGCAUGUGUUUUGGUUUUCAGUUGUCUAUAUUUGUUUUGUGUGGACGACAGUUCAAUAUUCUAGCAGUUGUUACACUUCCUACAUUCCGUAGUUAUCUGCGGUUGGUGUUCGAGAGAGCAAACUGUGUUCUUCUCCAGAGUGGAGUAAACCA